rnacentral:rRNA from 1 species
GACGAACGCUGGCGGCGUGCUUAACACAUGCAAGUCGAACGGAAAGGCGCUGCCUUUGUGGGUUGCUCGAGUGGCGAACGGGUGAGUAACACGUGAGGAACCUGCCUCAGAGUUGGGGACAACAGUUGGAAACGGGGGCUAAUACCGGAUAGGAGCACAUGUCGCAAGGGGGGGGUGGGAAAGUGUGGGCGGUGGGGGAUGAUCUCGCGGCUUAUCAGCUUGUUGUUGGGGUGGUGGCUUACCACGGCUGCGACGGGUGGCAGACCGGGGGGGGUGACCGGCCACAUUGGAACUGAGAUGCGGCCCAGCCUCCUACGGGAGGCAACGGUGGAGAGUAUUACACUGUGGGCGGGAGCCUGCUGCGGCAACGCCGCGUGCGGGAUAACGGCCUUCGGGUUGUAAACCGCUUUCGCCUGUUACGAGGCGUGAGUGACGGUAAUGGGUAAAGAAGCGCCGGCUAACUACGUG